rnacentral:rRNA from 1 species
GACGAACGCUGGCGGCGUGCUUAACACAUGCAAGUCGAACGGAAAGGCCCUGCUUUUGUGGGGUGCUCGAGUGGCGAACGGGUGAGUAACACGUGAGUAGCCUGCCCUUGACUUUGGGAUAACUUCAGGAAACUGGGGCUAAUACCGGAUAGGAGCUCCUGCUGCAUGGUGGGGGUUGGAAAGUUUCGGCGGUUGGGGAUGGACUCGCGGCUUAUCAGCUUGUUGGUGGGGUAGUGGCUUACCAAGGCUUUGACGGGUAGCCGGCCUGAGAGGGUGACCGGCCACAUUGGGACUGAGAUACGGCCCAGACUCCUACGGGAGGCAGCAGUGGGGAAUAUUGCACAAUGGGCAGAAGCCUGAUGCAGCAACGCCGCGUGCGGGAUGACGGCCUUCGGGUUGUAAACCGCUUUCGCCUGUGACGAAGCGUGAGUGACGGUAAUGGGUAAAGAAGCACCGGCUAACUACGUG